rnacentral:rRNA from 1 species
AGUGAACGCUGGCGGUAGGCCUAACACAUGCCAGUCGAACGGCAGCACAGUAAGAGCUUGCUCUUACGGGUGGCGAGUGGCGGACGGGUGAGGAAUACAUCGGAAUCUACUUUUUCGUGGGGGAUAACGUAGGGAAACUUACGCUAAUACCGCAUACGACCUACGGGUGAAAGCAGGGGAUCUUCGGACCUUGCGCGAUUGAAUGAGCCGAUGUCGGAUUAGCUAGUUGGCGGGGUAAAGGCCCACCAAGCCGACGAUCCGUAGCUGGUCUGAGAGGAUGAUCAGCCACACUGGAACUGAGACACGGUCCAGACUCCUACGGGAGGCAGCAGUGGGGAAUAUUGGACAAUGGGCGCAAGCCUGAUCCAGCCAUACCGCGUGGGUGAAGAAGGCCUUCGGGUUGUAAAGCCCUUUUGUUGGGAAAGAAAAGCAGCAGGUUAAUACCCCGCUGUUCUGACGGUACCCAAAGAAUAAGCACCGGCUAACUUCGUG